AAACGCCUCCUGACCCUGACGUGGCUGGGAGAGCUGCAGAAGUGCCGAGUCCCGGCCGGGGGCAGCCUCGCCGCCGCUCAGCUCGGGAAUCCCUGCCCCCCACCAGCACCUCAGUGGGGGAUACUGCAAGUUCAAGCACCAGCCUCACAGUAACAGCCGGCACACAGCACUUAGGCUGCCUGGUGUUCCAGAAGCUUCUGCAGGGGCUCUAUGCUGCACUCAAGGCAUCCCUAAGAGGAGAGCAUUUUGCUGUCCCCACUUUACGGAGAAGGAACGUGGGCUCAGGGUGGUUUAAGGCGUGAAUGAAUGAAGGAGCAAGCAGUAAGCCCCGACAGCAAGGCCACCACAGCCCUCGCCCCACAGGGACGCCUGAGCAAGGACCCAAGCAGGGGACAAGCAGGCUCACCCCGCCCUUGCGGGGCUGACCACGAGGCCCCGUCCGGUGGAACACGCCAUGACGCUUCAGGAGGCUCAUGUAGCUGGCGCCGUAUGGGACAGCGGGGGAGAGAGAAAAUGCACAGCCCAGGGAAUGUGGAGACAGGCCCAGCGCCAGGCAUGGGGGCCGGAAGGAGCAGCCGGGGAGCAGGGGGCAGGGCCUGGAGUCCCGCCUUGCAGAUCUGAACCUGCCCCAGCCCCAGGACUCUGAGUGCAGCAAGAGGGGAGCCGGGCUGGAGAGUGGGGAGCACGGAGACUGUGGCCUGGAUGGUGCCAGAGCAAACAGGAGAGAGGCUGCCCAACGCAGAGGCUGCAGCACAGACCAGAGGGUCCCGGGGCUGACUGGGUGGGGGCAGCUCCCAGCGAGAGGCCCCUGGGAUUUGGGUAAGUAGAGGCACAUGCAGACUCUGGCCACAGGGCACCUCGCGCACGAGGGGAGUUCACCACACAAGCUGAGCGGAGGGCGGACGCAGGAGAGCAGCGGUUUCUCGGAAGCCAAGGGCGGUCAUGGAGCCCCACGCCACAGCGCUUCCCACGGGGCCACACCAUCCGGUCUGCGGAGGGGGCUGCAUUGCCGGGAAGGACCAUCUGAUUCUGGAUUCCAGCCUCACCCUGGGCCACCGCUGAGUGUCCCAAGUGGCCCCUUAGCCCCCAGGGCCAGGCGGCAUCCCAAUCCCCUAGGGAUGUCUGUGCUCAGAAUGUGGCACACACGCCCCGGCAGGGCCAUCCUCCUCCUCCUGCACCCGCCACAGCCGUGGAUUCGGGGUCUCUAUCGUGGGCAGAAAUUCACACAGUCAAGGUGAGGGUCCCAGGAGCAGCUGUGACCAGGCCCCGGCUGCCAGGGAGAGGGGGUCUUCAGCCGACGGGGCAGACACCCUGAGAUGGACCCUUGUCCAGGGGAGGGCCCUGCCACCCACAAUUCCUUGGCAUUCCUGCACCAGCAGGACGGGCUGAGGGAGGCGCCUCACCAGUGCCAGCGCCCAGCAUCACUGUGCCCCGGUGGAGGGGGAGGCCCUUCCGAGCCUGGGCCUGGGUGUGGAUGAGGGCAGGUCUCUCACCUCUCUGACCUCAGCUUCCUCAACUGGGAAGGGGGGCCACAGCACCCCCUUAGGGGUGAUGAGGAAGUGGGAGCUCAGGGAGGACCCCGGGCAGGGCUGCCUCCUCACCUCUCUUCGGCCUUUGGACACUGGAGCUCAGAGGACCAAGUGAAUGAAUGAAUGACUCGAUCAAUCAACUGAUCCAUGAAUCCAUGGACCCCUGAACAGCUGGACAGCUGGGCUGUGGGCAGGACAGGGGACUCUGGCUGAAGCCGCGUUCAUAUGUGUUCAGCUUUAGGCCUCCACUGUGCCCGGACCAGCGGCCCACUCAGUGAGUCGAGUGUGCACCUGGCACCCCUCUUUCUGGAAAUCCACGAACAAUGGGCUCCCAGCAGAGGACUGAGGCUGAGCAGGCCACUUCCCUGGAGCUGACCCCACAGCUGUCCUGCUCCUCCUUCGCCUUCUGCCAUGACUGUAAGCUUUCUGAGGGCUGACCAGAAGCCCAGCAGAUGCCAGCACCAUGCUUCCUAUACAGCCUGCAGAACCGUGAGCCAGCUAAACCUCUCCUCAUAAAUCACCGAGCCCCAGGUUUAUCUUUACAGCAAUGCAAGACCUGACUAAUACAGCACCAGCUCCCCAAAAUAAAAAGAAAUAUUCAAACAAAUAAGCGCACAGAAGUGUUCCCAGCAGCACUAUUCACAGCAGCCAAAAGGCGGAGGAGCCACAGGCUUGUCAGCUGAUGACAGAUAAAGAAAGCAUGGCCUGUCAUCCCAGCACUUUGGGAGGCCGAGGUGGGUGGAUCACCUGAGGUUGGGAGUUCAAGACCAGCCUGGCCAACAUGGUGAAACCCAGUCUCUACUAAAAAUAUAAAAAUUAGCUGGGUGUGAUGAUGAGCGCCUGUAGUCCCAGCUACUUGGAAGGCUGAGGAACAAGAAUCGCUUGAACCCGGGAGGCAGAGGUCGCAGUGAACCGAGAUC
rnacentral:lncRNA from 10 species